rnacentral:rRNA from 1 species
UGGGGAAUAUUGCACAAUGGGCGCAAGCCUGAUGCAGCCAUGCCGCGUGUAUGAAGAAGGCCUUCGGGUUGUAAAGUACUUUCAGCGGGGAGGAAGGUGUUGAGGUUAAUAACCUCAGCAAUUGACGUUACCCGCAGAAGAAGCACCGGCUAACUCCGUGCCAGCAGCCGCGGUAAUACGGAGGGUGCAAGCGUUAAUCGGAAUUACUGGGCGUAAAGCGCACGCAGGCGGUCUGUCAAGUCGGAUGUGAAAUCCCCGGGCUCAACCUGGGAACUGCAUUCGAAACUGGCAGGCUAGAGUCUUGUAGAGGGGGGUAGAAUUCCAGGUGUAGCGGUGAAAUGCGUAGAGAUCUGGAGGAAUACCGGUGGCGAAGGCGACCCCCUGGACAAAGACUGACGCUCAGGUGCGAAAGCGUGGGGAGCAAACA